rnacentral:rRNA from 1 species
UUAUACCAUGCUGAAUAUACCGGUUCUCGUUAGAUCACCGAAGUCAAGCAUCAUUGGGCGCGGUCAGUACUUGGGUGGGUGACCACCUGGGAACACCGCGUGCCGUU